rnacentral:rRNA from 1 species
UGGGGAAUUUUGGACAAUGGGGGAAACCCUGAUCCAGCCAUCCCGCGUGUGCGAUGAAGGCCUUCGGGUUGUAAAGCACUUUUGGCAGGAAAGAAACGUCAUGGGUUAAUACCCCGUGAAACUGACGGUACCUGCAGAAUAAGCACCGGCUAACUACGUGCCAGCAGCCGCGGUAAUACGUAGGGUGCAAGCGUUAAUCGGAAUUACUGGGCGUAAAGCGUGCGCAGGCGGUUCGGAAAGAAAGAUGUGAAAUCCCAGAGCUCAACUUUGGAACUGCAUUUUUAACUACCGGGCUAGAGUGUGUCAGAGGGAGGUGGAAUUCCGCGUGUAGCAGUGAAAUGCGUAGAUAUGCGGAGGAACACCGAUGGCGAAGGCAGCCUCCUGGGAUAACACUGACGCUCAUGCACGAAAGCGUGGGAAGCAAACAAG